rnacentral:rRNA from 1 species
AUGAACGCUGGCGGCGUGCCUAAUACAUGCAAGUCGAGCGAACAGAUAAGGAGCUUGCUCCUUUGACGUUAGCGGCGGACGGGUGAGUAACACGUGGGUAACCUACCUAUAAGACUGGAAUAACUCCGGGAAACCGGGGCUAAUGCAGGAUAACAUGUUGAACCGCAUGGUUCUACAGUGAAAGGCGGCUUUGCUGUCACUUAUAGAUGGACCCGCGCCGUAUUAGCUAGUUGGUGAGGUAACGGCUCACCAAGGCAACGAUACGUAGCCGACCUGAGAGGGUGAUCGGCCACACUGGAACUGAGACACGGUCCAGACUCCUACGGGAGGCAGCAGUAGGGAAUCUUCCGCAAUGGGCGAAAGCCUGACGGAGCAACGCCGCGUGAGUGAUGAAGGUCUUCGGAUCGUAAAACUCUGUUAUUAGGGAAGAACAAAUGCGUAAGUAACUGUGCGCGUCUUGACGGUACCUAAUCAGAAAGCCACGGCUAACUACGUG